GUACGGAACAGAUAUAGACACAACCAUGUGCGAGGUAGAGGUCAGUUGUCAUUUUCUGAAGUUUCAGUUGCUAAUUGAACAGAUUCAAUUCAGUUCUCACCUUCCAUUCUUCUUAUUUUCAUCAUUUUCACCCUCCCCAAUUCUCUUUUACUUUUAAUUUUGGUUACAAGUUCAAUUGAUUCAACUGGGUAGAGUUCCAUAGUUGAGAUGUGGAGCUAGAGGUUGCGGAUUAAAAUUCAAUUCGUGACAAAUUGGCAUCAGAGCAGACGUAUCAUAGAGAUUGAUAAUCAUGGAUACAAUAUCUAAGGCGGUGGAUGAGCACUUGAAGAAAUUAGACUUGGAAAUGGCUGAUUUAGGUACAACUUUUAAAGUUGUUACUAGCCGACUAGAAAACAUGCUUGAGGUUAUGGAUCAAAUCCUCCAAGUACGGGGACAUAGGCUGGAGAAUAUUGAGAAUCCUUUGCUAGGCAUGAAUAAAAUCUAUGAGAAGGUAGUGUUUAUGAAGGUUCAAAUAUCUUCUGAGCUGAAGAUUGAUCAGAAGAAGGGUGUGGAAGGACCUGUAGACAACUUGAGAUUUGGGAUUGUGAUUUUAACACCAGGGCUAGUAGUGAAGAUAGUAUUUCUAACAACGGAGGUGAAUUUUAAGAGAAUAUGAAGCUUCUUAAGAUCCUAGAUAGUGGUUGAGAAAAGCUGGGAAGUAUUUCCAGUUACACCAAAUACCAGAUGAACUGAGAAUAGGAGUUGCAGAAUAUAUUUAGAAGGGAAGGCUGAUAUCCAGUUUGAUGGGUUUAUUGAAUCUAUUUUCAGAUGAAAUCUGUAGGAGAUUUGCAGAAACUAAUGGAGUAGUAGUAGAAAGCUUCAGUAAGAUCAAGCAACUUGGAACUAUAGAGGAAUAUCAGGAGAAGUUCGACGAACUGAAAUCACAGGUGAUGCUUUCAUUACCUAAUGUUCCUGAAUAGGCUAUAUUGCUGCAUUCACUAGUGGUCUAAAAGGAGAGAUUAGAUCAAUGGUUAAACCCAAUACACUGGCUAAGGCGUUUGAGAUAGCUUGCCUAUAGGAAUCCACUAUUGAAGCCAUUCACAAAUUCCAGAAACCAAAGGGAUUUACUCCAAACAUAUGGAGUCCCUUCGCCGCAAAACCACCUAAAGAAACCAGUGCCAAAGACCCCUUACCAAAAGCCAGUAAACCUCCAAACAACUACAAAACCAUUACCCCCACUGAUUUUCAAACGAAGAGGAAUUUGUGACUUUGUUACGAGUGUGAAGAAAAAUAUACUAUAUGCCAUGUAUGCACGUAUAGGGCCCUGAAUUUUAUUCUAGUGGAUGAGGCUAAGGAAGAUGACACUGAUGAGGAGAUGAAUCAGAACGAGAAGUAAGUUACAAAUAUUUUUGUUAUUGCAUGCAUUUGUAGUUCCAGGCACAGAACUAUGAGGGUGCCAGGUGUAAUCAAAGGGAGGGAAAUUUCUAUCCUGAUACACAGUGGUAGCACACAUAGCUUUAUAGAUGAUGAACUGGCUAGAGAGCUGAACUUGGCAAUUGAUGGAACUAAAACAUCGACAGUCAGGAUGGAAAAUGGUGAGAAAUUAGAGAGCAAGGCCCUAUAUUCACCCCUGACUUGGAAGGUACAAAACUGGGAAUUCCAAUGCCAUCUAAGAACAUUGAAACUGUGUGGCAGUGAAAUUGUGUUGGGAUUAAAUUGGAUGAGUCGAUUUUGCCCAAUCAUGUUCAAUUUCACUCUAGGGAUUAUCAAGUUCAAACAUGAAGGUACAGAAGUAAACUUGAGGAGUAAGGACACCGUGCCAGAUGUGAAGAUGAUUGGAGUAGAGAAAAUGAAGAAUCUAUUUAGAAGGAACAGUUGUGGCAUUGAUGGGCAAUUAUACACCAUCACAAAGGGGGAGAAGAAGGAGAUUCUCAAGCAGAUUACAGAAAUUAUCAACCAAUGCCCAGGUGUAUUUGAAGAGCCUAGAGUGUUGCCUCCCCUAGGUCCUAUGACUACCAGAUUCCACUAAAAGAGGGAUCCCAGCCAUUUAAAUUUAGGCUAUACAGAUAUCCCUUCAUUCAGAAAACUCAGAUUGAGAGACAGUAAAAGAGAUGCUGGAUAGUGGGAUAAUUCAACCCAGCGGCGGCCUAUUUGCAUAUCCUGUUCUACUAGUCAAAAAGAAGGAUGGGUCCUAGCGUUUUUGUGUAGAUUACAGAAAUUUGAACAGCUUAAAUAUCAAGGACAAGUUCUCUAUGCCACUGGUUAAUGAACUUAAUUGGUCUAAGUAUUGUUCUAAAAUCGGUCUCAGGACUGGCUAUCACCAAAUCAGAGUUACUCAAUCAGACAUUCACAUGACAACUUUCAAAACACACCAAGCCUUUAUGAGUUCAAAGUGAUGCCAUUUGUGCUCACUAAUGCCCCUGCUACAUUCAAAGCCUCAUAUUUAAUGCGCAACUGAGAGAUUAUGUCUUAGUUCUCUUUCAUGAUAUAUUGGUUUACAGCCAUGACUUUACUAUCCACUAUCAUCAUGUAAAAUGGUCCUGGAAAUUCUGUAAAGACACCAGCUAUAUGCUACGUGGUCCAAAAAAUGUAGUUUCGGAUAGGCGCAAGUCGAAUACUUUGGUUAUAUAAUCAAUCAAAAGGGGUAUCUCAGCUGAUCCCAAAAAAAUCAAAGCAGUGCAACAAUGGCCUAUGCCUAGAAUAUUAAAUAGUUGAGGGGUAUCUUAGGCCUUACAGGUUAUUACAGAAAAUUUGUAAAGAAUUAUGGGAUAAUAGCUAAACAUUUAACUGAUCUCCUUAAGAAGGACAACUUCAUUUGGUCAGAUACAACAGAUUCAGCAUUUGUGUCUUUGAAAGAGAUUAUGAGUUCCACUCCAGUACUAGCACUCCCUAAUUUUAGCAAGCCAUUCAUCAUUGAAACAGAUGCAUGCCAAAGGGACAUAGGUACAGUGCUUAUGCUGGACAGGAGACCUCUGGCUUACUUAAGCAGAGCUGUGGGGGUCAGAAAUAUGGGGUUAUCCAUAUAUGAGAAUGAGUUGUUGGUUAUCAAUAUAUGAGAAUGAGUUGUUGGCAUCAGCCAUAGUAUUAAGCAAAUGGAGGCAAUAUUUGGAGGGCCACCACUUUAUUGUAAAGACUGACCAUCAUUCUCUUAAGUACCUACUUGAGCAAAGAAUUACUAUGCCCUCCCGCAAAAAUGGCAUACCAAACUGCUAGGCCUUUGUUAUGAAAUAGUAUAUAUAAAAGGGGCAGAUAUUUUGGUGGCAUAUGCACUGUCCAGGAGACAUAAGAGAGUUUGGAAUGUUCUAGAAUGGCAAUUAUAAUUCCUUCCUUGAUCUAAGAGGUUAUCAAUAGCUCUAAGGGAGAUAAAAAGGCUGAAGAGAAGAUUCAAUUCCUUAUAUCACAGCCGGAUAAUGACCCAAACUUCUCUUAUUGCAAUGGUGUACAGAAGCACAAUGGUAAGAUUUAUAUUAGGACAAGUGGUGAUAUUAGAACAAAACUGAUUCAGAGUCUCCAUAAUUCACAACAAGGGGGGUCAUUCAGGAGUGCAUAACAGCAUCUUUAUAGCAAAUAAAAAUUCUACUGGCCGGGAUUGAACCAAGAUAUCAAGAGAGAGUUAUUACAAUGUGAAGUUUAUCAGAGGUGCAAAUGGGAACAUAUACUCUAUUCUGGACUACUGCAGCCCUUACCUGAGUCUCUUCACUUAGGGAGUUACAUUAGCAUGGAUUUCAUCUAGGGUCUUCCCAUAUUAGGAGAUAAAAAUGCCAUUUAUGUGGUGGUGGACACGUUUACAAAAUAUUGGCAUUUAAUGGCUCUAUCACAUCUCUUCACAGUCCUAUCAUUGGCAAAGUUGUUUGUGGACAAUGUGUACAAGUUACAUGGUCUGCCUCAAAGCAUCAUCUCUGAUAGAGAUAAGGUCUUUACUAGUUGGUUCUGGUAAGAAUUAUUCACCAUGUUAGUCACCAAACCUCAGCUCAGCUCUACAUACCAUCCUCUGACAGAUGGGCAAACAGAAAGGGUCGACAAUGUUUGGAAAUGUAUUUGAGGUGUUUGACUUAUCAGUAGCCUAAGUUAAUGGGGUAAGUGGCUAAUUCAGGCUGAAUAGUGGUAAAACACCACCUACCACUCUGCAAUUAGAAUCACUCCCUUUGAGGCUCUAUAUGGGAUUAAACUCCCCUAGUUAGCUUUGGGACUUUACCAAAAAUCUAAUGUAGCAACAGUUGAUGAAUUUCUGCGAGAGAGGUAUAAACUUGAUCAGCAAUUAAAGGAGAAUUUGUCACAAGCCAGAGCUCGAAUGAAACUUUAUGCAGACAAAAAUAGAACUGAGAGAGUUUUUGAACAAGGUGACGAGGAUUUUCAUAAGUCACAUCCAUAUACUCAACAGUCAGUGGAGCUUAGAAACACUUCUAAGUGCCAGAUACUUUGGCCCUUAUCAGAUUAUUAAGAAAAUUGGAGCUAUAGCAUGUCAGUUGGCACUACCUAAAGGUUCAAAAAUUCAUCCAAUUUUCCAUGUGUCAUUGUUGAAGAAGAAACUUGGACAUAAUGCUAUGCCAAUGCUCCACCUGCCAGAUAAAAAACAUCCUUCACAACCAGAUCGUUGUCCCCCUCCAUUUUGGAAUUUCGUUGGAUGAAAUGCAGAAAUCAUUCAGCUGAACAAUGACUCAUUCAUUGGUCCGAUAAACUUCCAGAGGACGCAACUUGGGAGUUUGCCAAAGUGGGUUAAAUAUCAUCUCCUUGUCUAUAGAUCUUAAGGACAGGAUCAAGGUGAGAUGGAGGGUUGUCAUGUGGGGAGCAAUUGGGGAAAAAGGAGAAGAAGAACUAGCCAUGGAAGGAAAGGCAGGAAAUCAGAUGUGGUGUAAGAAGAAGGAAUUUAACAACGGUAGCUGAAAUUCAAAUACAAAACUGCAGCGUUUGGUUUAACAGAAAACGACACCGUUUUGCUUUAGUUUAAUUAAAUAAAUUGUAAUAGGAAGUGAAGAAAUUUUUUUAUAUUUUUUGGUUUCAAAAAUGUGACUUCGCUUACACUGAACAGAUAUAGAUACAGCCAUAUGCAAGGUGGAGGUCACUUGUCAUUUCUGAAUUUUCAGUUGCUAACUGAAGGGACUCAAUUCAGUUCUCACCUCUCAUUCUUAUGAUUUUCAUCAUUUUCAUCCUCCCCAGUUCAGUUUUACUUUUUAAUUUUGCUCAGUCGACUUGUGGGGUCAAAAAUGAAUUUUUUUUUCAAACAACGUAUUAUGAACAAAAAGGAGAAAUCGAUGGUUUGCUAUUCGUGUUCGGUGUUUGCACUUUGGCAAGAAAUUAGUUGAUUA
rnacentral:lncRNA from 1 species